UGAGGAAUAUUGGUCAAUGGACGAGAGUCUGAACCAGCCAAAUCGCGUGAAGGAAGACUGCCCUACGGGUUGUAAACUUCUUUUGUACAGGAAUAAAAGACAUUACGUGUAAUGUAUUGCAUGUACUGUACGAAUAAGCAUCGGCUAACUCCGUGCCAGCAGCCGCGGUAAUACGGAGGAUGCGAGCGUUAUCCGGAUUUAUUGGGUUUAAAGGGUGCGCAGGCGGGAUUUUAAGUCAGCGGUGAAAUUUUCAGGCUCAACCUGAACACUGCCGUUGAAACUGGGAUUCUUGAGUAUGGAUGAAGUAGGCGGAAUUCGUUGUGUAGCGGUGACAUGCUUAGAUAUAACGAGGAACUCCGAUUGCGUAGGCAGCUUACUAAGCCAUAACUGACGCUCAAGCACGAAAGCGUGG
rnacentral:rRNA from 1 species